AAAGCAAUUGAAAUCCAAAUGAACGUCAUUAUAAAUAUGUAUGGUUCAAAAUCAUCAUUUAAAUGUCAAUUCUACCAGCUAACAUAAGGAAACAACUCAAAAUUUGCAUCUGAUUACUUUGCCCCACAUUGGAUAAAAUGCAACUUUCUCAUUCGUUUUUGAACAAUCAAGAGGGCUUUUACCAGUUGGUGGGGUGAAAA